GGGCUACACACGUGCUACAAUGGCGCAUACAAAGAGAAGCGACCUCGCGAGAGCAAGCGGACCUCAUAAAGUGCGUCGUAGUCCGGAUUGGAGUCUGCAACUCGACUCCAUGAAGUCGGAAUCGCUAGUAAUCGUGGAUCAGAAUGCCACGGUGAAUACGUUCCCGGGCCUUGUACACACCGCCCGUCACACCAUGGGAGUGGGUUGCAAAAGAAGUAGGUAGCUUAACCUUCGGGAGGGCGCUUACCACUUUGUGAUUCAUGACUGGGGUGAAGUCGUAACAAGGUAACCGUAGGGGAACCUGCGGUUGGA
rnacentral:rRNA from 1 species